UACGGAAGGCAGCAGUGGGGAAUAUUGCACAAUGGGCGAAAGCCUGAUGCAGCUAUGCCGCGUGUAUGAAGAAGGCCUUAGGGUUGUAAAGUACUUUCAUCGGGGAGGAAAAAACAAAACUAAUAAUUUUAUUUCUUGACGUUACCCGAAAAAGAAGCACCGGCUAACUCCGUGCCAGCAGCCGCGGUAAUACGGAGGGUGCUAGCGUUAAUCAGAAUUACUGGGCGUAAAGAGCACGUAGGUGGUUUUUUUAAGUCAGAUGUGAAAUCCCUGGGCUUAACCUAGGAACUGCAUUUUGAAACUGAAAUACUAGAGUAUCGUAGAGGGAGGUAGAAUUCUAGGUGUAGCGGUGAAAUGCGUAGAUAUCUGGAGGAAUACCUGUGGCGAAAAGCGGCCUCCUAAACGAAUACUGACACUGAGGUGCGAAAAGCGUGGGGAGCAAAACAGGGAUUAGAUACC
rnacentral:rRNA from 1 species